rnacentral:rRNA from 1 species
CAAUAGCGUAUAUUAAAGUUGUUGCAGUUAAAAAGCUCGUAGUUGGAUUUCUGGUUGAAGCGACCGGUCGGGCGUUGAUUCGUCUGCACUGGGGUCGGUUUUGGCCAUCCUCUAGGAAAGUGCGUCUGGUAUUAAGUUAUCGGGCGUAUGAUCCUGGUCUUUUACUGUGAAAAAAUUAGAGUGUUUAAAGCAGGCCUUCGCCUUGAAUACAUUAGCAUGGAAUAAUAAGAUAGGACUUUGGUCUAUUUUGUUGGUUUGCAGACCGAAGUAAUGAUUAAUAGGGAUAGUUGGGGGUAUUUAUAUUCCGAUGUCAGAGGUGAAAUUCUUAGAUUUUCGGAAGAUAAACUUAUGCGAAAGCAUUUACCAAGGAUGUUUNCAUUAA